GUAAAAGAUAAUCGUACACUAGCAAUGUGGCACCAGCGUUUAUGUUGAUAACAAAGCAAAAAAACCUCCAAGAAUACAACUAAAAAUCAACGAAUUAAAAAAAAAAUAGUCUUCAAAUCACAUUACAAAAAUCUGACAGAGCCCCAUACACAACCCUCACCAAAAACCAGGGGUGCUCUUUUUCAAUUAUGUAUAUUAUUAAACUAAGCAGACA
rnacentral:lncRNA from 1 species